rnacentral:hammerhead_ribozyme from 1 species
GCGCUGCUGAGGAGCCUCAUAAUAGGACGAAACGGCCGUCCAGUGC